UGUCACAUGAUGGGUUAAACCCACGUGGACCAGCCUCUCUUUUUUUUCUCUCAUCUUUGCUUAUUUCUCACUCUCUCUCUCUCUCUCUCUCUCUCUCUUUCACACAUUGUAUCCCUGGGUCCAAGCCACCGCAUGGCCGUGAACCACAUGAACCUGUGCUUUCUUUUCUCUUUCUCAUCUCUAUGCAAUCCAGCUCUCUCUUCCUGUCUCUGUGCUUGGGGACUGAAUCUUGGAUCAGGAAUUCUCAAGGAUCCCAGCACCAGCUUUAAAGAAGCCACGAUCAGAGACGGUGCACGGCUCCCUGCGUUUGCUCUCCUCCAGCGUGUACCGGCUGCAGGGCGGGUGCUGGAAGGCGGCCCCCGUGGACAGCAGCCCCGGCCCUGACAUGCUGUGUUUGCAUCAGCUGUUUCUCUUCACAGUCUGUUUGGACAUGCCGCAGCAGAGCAGUCCCCCAGCCCCUCCUCUUUGCACACAACUGAAUUGUCUGUUCAAUAAGAGAUGAUGAAUCACAUGGAAGGUAUAUUGUGCUCUCCUUCUUGAUCACAGACGUUCCACCCAGCUAAUUAAUCCAUGCUACAGCUUGUGGUGCUCUGACAUCAAAGGUUUGGUGAGUGGGGUGGCACUAUGGGAUGCCCUGCAAGAGAAUUCCAACACCCAGAGACAGAGAAUGGAGGCAGAUUCUCUUCAGGUGACUUGCUGACAGAUGUGUGCUUAAUUGUAAGUAGUUGAAGGAGAUACAGACUGUUCCUAAUGGGGAAGACAAUUAAUUAUGAAAACAUAUUUGUUAUAUGAUAAACAAUAUAACAUUUCAAGUAUGUUUAAAUUAUGUGAGGAACCCAUAGGGCAUCACCGCUUGUCUAGCACAUGGGUUUUCAAAUAUUAUACCCAUUGAGCCUAUCCUAGGCAGUCAAGACAGGUGAAUCAUUUAUGUUAGUUGUGAUUGAAAAUGUUACUGCAAACAUCUUAAGCACAAUGUCUAAGCAAGUUUGAAAUGGACCACACAGACACAAGAAAUAAAAA